rnacentral:rRNA from 1 species
CCUUUGUACACACCGCCCGUCGCUACUACCGAUUGAAUGGCUUAGUGAGGUCUCCAGAUCGGCUUCGGGGAGCCGGAGACGGCACCCCGUCGCUGAGAAGCUGAUCAAACUUGGUCAUUUAGAGG